UACGUAGGUGACAAGCGUUGUCCGGAUUUACUGGGCGUAAAGAGCGCGCAGGCGGUCGAUCAAGUCGAGUGUGAAAGCCCCCGGCUCAACUGGGGAGGGUCAUUCGAUACUGAUCGACUCGAAGGCAGGAGAGGGUAGUGGAAUUCCCGGUGUAGUGGUGAAAUGCGCAGAUAUCGGGAGGAACACCAGUAGCGAAGGCGACACUCUGGGCCGGUACUGACGCUGAGGAGCGAAAGCGUGGGGAGCAAACAGG
rnacentral:rRNA from 1 species